UGGGGAAUAUUGCACAAUGGGGAAAGCCCUGAUGCAGCGACGCCGCGUGAAGGAAGAAGUAUCUCGGUAUGUAAACUUCUAUCAGCAGGGAAGAAAAUGACGGUACCUGACUAAGAAGCCCCGGCUAACUACGUGCCAGCAGCCGCGGUAAUACGUAGGGGGCAAGCGUUAUCCGGAUUUACUGGGUGUAAAGGGAGCGUAGACGGCGGAGCAAGUCUGAAGUGAAAGCCCCGGGCUUAACCCGGGAACUGCUUUGGAAACUGUACUGCUGGAGUGCUGGAGAGGUAAGCGGAAUUCCUAGUGUAGCGGUGAAAUGCGUAGAUAUUGGGAGGAACACCAGUGGCGAAGGCGGCUUACUGGACGGUAACUGACGUUGAGGCUCGAAAGCGUGGGGAGCAAACAGGAUUAGAUACC
rnacentral:rRNA from 1 species